rnacentral:rRNA from 1 species
CCCUUAGAUGUUCUGGGCCGCACGCGCGCUACACUGACUACUUCAACGAGUUGUUUCCUUGUUCGAAAGGUCUGGGUAAUCUUUGAAAGGUAGUCGUGAUGGGGAUAGAUCCUUGCAAUUUUUGAUCUUCAACGAGGAAUUCCUAGUAAACGCAAGUCAUCAGCUUGCAUUGAUUACGUCCCUGCCCUUUGUACACACCGCCCGUCGCACCUACCGAUUGAAUGGUCCGGUGAAUCUUUAGGACUGUGGCUGAGGCCUUGCCUUGUGCGGGUCUGGCCGUGGGAAUUUAGUUAAACCUUACCAUUUAGAGGAAGGUGAAGUCGUAACA